GGAAAUACACUUCCCCAAAAUCUGUCCCCCAAAGAGGAAAAGGCCACCUUCCACCUUCUUUGGUCUAGACAUGGGAAAAUGUGCUUUGCUUGGUUGCUUUAAGGCACUCAUACUACUAGUGCUCCAUGUAUUUUUCAACCCAUGGUCAGUUUCAUGUUUUCUUAAAUUUGGGGGGAAGAAAAAUCCUUCCAUUUAAAAAUAACUAGAAAUAAUGGAAGAAGUGUGUAUUUUUCUAACAUGGCCCAAACAUUGAACUAAAAUAAAUGGCCAACCGUUUUCCUAAUGAAAACUAGCAUUUGCUUUGCUGCCUUGAUAAGUGCCCUACGUCAGUAAGAAUCUGAAAUGUCCUCUAAGAUAUUUCUAGAAUAUUUAGUUAUUGAUAAAUUGUUUCA